rnacentral:rRNA from 1 species
UGGGGAAUUUUGGACAAUGGGCGAAAGCCUGAUCCAGCAAUGCCGCGUGUGUGAAGAAGGCCUUCGGGUUGUAAAGCACUUUUGUCCGGAAAGAAAUCCUUGGCUCUAAUACAGUCGGGGGAUGACGGUACCGGAAGAAUAAGCACCGGCUAACUACGUGCCAGCAGCCGCGGUAAUACGUAGGGUGCAAGCGUUAAUCGGAAUUACUGGGCGUAAAGCGUGCGCAGGCGGUUUGCUAAGACCGAUGUGAAAUCCCCGGGCUCAACCUGGGAACUGCAUUGGUGACUGGCAGGCUAGAGUAUGGCAGAGGGGGGUAGAAUUCCACGUGUAGCAGUGAAAUGCGUAGAGAUGUGGAGGAAUACCGAUGGCGAAGGCAGCCCCCUGGGCCAAAUACUGACGCUCAUGCACGAAAGCGUGGGGGAGCAAACAGGAUUAGAUACCCUGGUAGUCCACGCCCUAAACGAUGUCAACUAGUUGUUGGGGAUUCAUUUCCUUAGUAACGUAGCUAACGCGUGAAGUUGACCGCCUGGGGAGUACGGUCG